GUUGGGAGCUCUCCCAUAUGGUCGACCUGCAGGCGGCCGCGAAUUCACUAGUGAUUGUUUGAUCCUGGCUCAGAUUGAACGCUGGCGGCAGGCUUAACACAUGCAAGUCGAACGGUAACAGAGAAUAGCUUGCUAUUCUGCUGACGAGUGGCGGACGGGUGAGUAAUGCUUGGGAAUUUGCCGAAAGGUGGGGGACAACAGUUGGAAACGACUGCUAAUACCGCAUAAUGUCUACGGACCAAAGGUGGCCUCUAUUUAUAUGCUAUCGCCUUUCGAUGAGCCCAAGUGGGAUUAGCUAGUUGGUAAGGUAAUGGCUUACCAAGGCGACGAUCCCUAGCUGGUCUUAGAGGAUGGCCAGCCACACUGGAACUGAGACACGGUCCAGACUCCUACGGGAGGCAGCAGUGGGGAAUAUUGCACAAUGGGGGAAACCCUGAUGCAGCCAUGCCGCGUGUGUGAAGAAGGCUUUCGGGUUGUAAAGCACUUUCAGCGAGGAGGAAAGGGUGAUGGCUAAUAUCCAUCAUCUGUGACGUUACUCGCAGAAGAAGCACCGGCUAACUCCGUGCCAGCAGCCGCGGUAAUACGGAGGGUGCAAGCGUUAAUCGGAAUUACUGGGCGUAAAGCGCGCGUAGGUGGUUAAUUAAGUCAGAUGUGAAAGCCCAGGGCUCAACCUUGGAACUGCAUUUGAAACUGGUUGACUAGAGUUUUGUAGAGGGUGGUAGAAUUUCAGGUGUAGCGGUGAAAUGCGUAGAGAUCUGAAGGAAUACCAGUGGCGAAGGCGGCCACCUGGACAAAGACUGACACUGAGGCGCGAAGGCGUGGGGAGCAAACGGGAUUAGAUACCCCGGUAGUCCACGCAGUAAACGAUGUCUAUUAGAAGUUUGUGGCUAUAUGCCGUGGGUUUCAAAGCUAACGCAUUAAAUAGACCGCCUGGG
rnacentral:rRNA from 1 species